ensembl:lncRNA
CUGCAUUCCCACAGAGCAGUCACAUCCCCACAGAAAGAUGACAGCUUUUUCCCUAUUAUUGGUGUACCAGGUGCUAUUUUGUCUCUCGCUGACAACCGUCAUUGAGAUACUGUUUCAGCAGGUUUGAGAGCUCUUCAGGCUGCUGCAGGGUCAUGGUGCACCUCCACAGAGCCUGCUCAGGCCAUACAGGGCCACACAGCUCUCUGCUUCAUGUGCUUCUGAGACUCCAUCAGGAGGUAAUCUGAUCACCGGAGGGAGCAUGAACGUGACACAGGAAUGUCUGUGGGUAUCUGAAGCAGUGCAUCCCUUUGGAGAUUGGUGAUUUUAAUCACAAAAAUCUCCUGCUGUGUGCACCCUAAUUAUAUCAGAGGUCUCUUCACAUAUUGCGUACUCAUUGGAAGACAGCAUGCUUAAAUAUUUU